rnacentral:rRNA from 1 species
AAUAGAUACCCUGGUAGUCCACGCCGUAAACGAUGUCGACUUGGAGGUUGUGCCCUUGAGGCGUGGCUUCCGGAGCUAACGCGUUAAGUCGACCGCCUGGGGAGUACGGCCGCAAGGUUAAAACUCAAAUGAAUUGACGGGGGCCCGCACAAGCGGUGGAGCAUGUGGUUUAAUUCGAUGCAACGCGAAGAACCUUACCUACUCUUGACAUCCAGAGAACUUAGCAGAGAUGCUUUGGUGCCUUCGGGAACUCUGAGACAGGUGCUGCAUGGCUGUCGUCAGCUCGUGUUGUGAAAUGUUGGGUUAAUCCCGCAACGAGCGCAACCCUUAUCCUUUGUUGCCAGCGAUUCGGUCGGGAACUCAAAGGAGACUGCCAGUGAUAAACUGGAGGAAGGUGGGGAUGACGUCAAGUCAUCAUGGCCCUUACGAGUAGGGCUACACACGUGCUACAAUGGCAUAUACAAAAGAGAAGCGACCUCGCGAGAGCAAGCGGACCUCAUAAAGUAUGUCGUAGUCCGGAUUGG